CUCCGGCUCCGCAUAGUGCCCGCCGCGCGCGCAGCUGGAUACUAGUAGGGCUGUCCAGCUGGCGGAGGCCUGUGACGUGGUCAACUCAAUACUACGCGCUAUACCCUACUGCGUUACUUCCACAUAGGUAACAGACGUAUGCAAAUCUCUUUCUGAAUCUUAAUACGUGUCAUCAAACAAACAAUUAAAUGCUUCACUAAAAUAUUAGUAAUUAUAAGCAAUGUAUACUCGUUCAAUUAAACAACAUCGAAUAAAUGCAUCAUAAUACGGCA